UACGGGGGGGGCAAGCGUUGUUCGGAAUUACUGGGCGUAAAGGGCUCGUAGGCGGCCAACUAAGUCGUAUGUGAAAUCCCCAGGCUUAACCUGGGAACUGCAUCCGAUACUGGAUGGCUUGAAUUCGGGAGAGGGAUGCAGAAUUCCAGGUGUAGCGGUGAAAUGCGUAGAUAUCUGGAGGAAUACCGGUGGCGAAGGCGGCAUCCUGGACCGACAUUGACGCUGAUGAGCGAAAGCUAGGGGAGCAAACGGG
rnacentral:rRNA from 1 species